rnacentral:lncRNA from 1 species
UCCGUUUUCCCUAGGACAAGCAGGUUCCGCCUUCGCCCGUCCUCUCCUCCUUCCCACCCCCACACUGGCCGGGAGGGGGGCGCCGCGCACAGGGGAGCGGAGGACAGGGUUCACCCUGCUAAAAACCAUUAAUCAUCCGGAGGUCGCCAGCCCCGAAUCCGUUUCCUCCUCGAAGGCCGUCCUGCGGGCGAUCUGUCUCCUCGCGGGCUCUGUAACGGCCGAGUUGUAAAGAAUUCCUGAUGAAUUAUUGUUGGCACUCAGUCCGAAGCGCGAAGGCUCAGGCCCACAGAAGGAAAAGCAAGCCCUCUCUCUGGCUGCGCCUCGUGGCUACGGCCGGACUCGGGAAGGGUUUCUGGGCUGCGGUGAGGAAUGGGGUGUUUCAGAGCAGGUCACCCCGAAGGCUGCGCACCCGCACAGCGCACAUCUGAAUUAGGGCAGGCUUCAUGUUCCCAUUCGACAGAUAAGGCUGGGUCUACGACACGCAAGCUCCAGAGGAACCCAGCUACUCUGUGGCAGAGCUGGGAUGAACACUCAGGUCUCCAAACUACCAGCUGUUUCCCCUGCCUCCCACACGCUGUCCUCCUUGGCCUGAUGGCCCUAAUGAAGGGGCUCAGCUCACCGACUGCAGCCUCAUUUACGGCCCUUACCCCACUCCUGCUGCCUGCACUGCUCCGCUCCCAGCCCUCGCACCUGCUUCCUUCCGGUCACCCAAGGCCAAGGCACAGACCUAAUCACCCGUGUGUUCCACUCCCAGUCUUGGCCUCUGAUGAUGGGAAAUCCUUUGAGUGGGGGACCAGGACUCCUUUGUUCGUCAGGCAGCUGUAG